rnacentral:rRNA from 1 species
AGAGUUUGAUCCUGGCUCAGGAUGAACUCUAGCGAUAGGCUUAACACAUGCAAGUCGAGGGGCAGCAUGAACAAAGCUUGCUUUGUUUGAUGGCGACCGGCGCACGGGUGCGUAACGCGUAUGCAACCUACCCAUAAGAGGGGGAUAGCCCCUCGAAAGAGGGAUUAAUACCACAUGGCAAGCAUUUCCCGCAUGGGUGAUGCUUUAAACAACUUGGCUUAUGGAUGGGCAUGCGUUCCAUUAGGUAGUUGGUAGGGUAACGGCCUACCAAGCCGACGAUGGAUAGGGGUCCUGAGAGGGAGGUCCCCCACACUGGUACUGAGACACGGACCAGACUCCUACGGGAGGCAGCAGUGAGGAAUAUUGGUCAAUGGGCGGAAGCCUGAACCAGCCAAAUCGCGUGAAGGAAGAAGGUGUUAUGCAUUGUAAACUUCUUUUGUCGGGGAAUAAAGUGCACCACGAGUGGUGUUUUGUAUGUACCCGAAGAAUAAAGACCGGCUAAUUCCGUGCCAGCAGCCGCGGUAAUACGGAAGGUCUGAGCGUUAUCCGGAUUUAUUGGGUUUAAAGGGUGCGUAGGCGGGCGUUUAAGUCAGCGGUGAAAGUUUGCGGCUCAACCGUAAAAUUGCCGUUGAUACUGGAUGCCUUGAGUGCAGAGGAGGUAGGCGGAAUUCGUCGUGUAGCGGUGAAAUGCGUAGAUAUGACGAAGAACACCAAUUGCGUAGGCAGCUUACCAUAGUGCAACUGACGCUGAGGCACGAAAGUGUGGGUAUCAAACAGGAUUAGAUACCCUGGUAGUCCACACAGUAAACGAUGAAUACUAGUUGUUUGCGAUAGACGGCAGGCGCCCGAGCGAAAAGCAUUAAGUAUUCCACCUGGGGAGUACGCCGGCAACGGUGAAACUCAAAGGAAUUGACGGGGGCCCGCCCAAGCGGAGGAACAUGUGGUUUAAUUCGAUGAUACGCGAGGAACCUUACCCGGGCUUGAAUUGCAACUGAAUAUAUCGGAAACGGUAUAGCCGCAAGGCAGUUGUGAAGGUGCUGCAUGGUUGUCGUCAGCUCGUGCCGUGAGGUGUCGGCUUAAGUGCCAUAACGAGCGCAACCCUUGCCAUUAGUUACUAACAGGUAGAGCUGAGGACUCUAAUGGAACUGCCAUCGUAAGAUGAGAGGAAGGUGGGGAUGACGUCAAAUCAGCACGGCCCUUACGUCCGGGGCGACACACGUGUUACAAUGGGGGGUACAAAGGGCAGCUACCUGGCGACAGGAUGCAAAUCCCCAAAACCCUUCUCAGUUCGGAUCGGAGUCUGCAACUCGACUCCGUGAAGCUGGAUUCGCUAGUAAUCGCGCAUCAGCCAUGGCGCGGUGAAUACGUUCCCGGGCCUUGCACACACCGCCCGUCAAG